GAUGAAGAACGUAGCGAAAUGCGAUACGUAAUGUGAAUUGCAAAUUCAGUGAAUCAUCGAGUCUUUGAACGCACAUUGCGCCCCCUGGUAUUCCGGGGGGCAUGCCUGUCCGAGCGUCAUUGCUGCCCUCAAGCACGGCUUGUGUGUUGGGCCCCGUCCUCCGAUCCCGGGGGACGGGCCCGAAAGGCAGCGGCGGCACCGCGUCCGGUCCUCGAGCGUAUGGGGCUUUGUCACCCGCUCUGUAGGCCCGGCCGGCGCUUGCCGAUCAACCCAAAUUUUGAUCCAGGUUGACCUCGGAUCAGGUAGGGAUACCCGCUGAACUUAAGCAUAUCAAUAAGCGGAGGA
rnacentral:misc_RNA from 1 species